rnacentral:rRNA from 1 species
UACGGAGGAUGCGAGCGUUAUCCGGAUUUAUUGGGUUUAAAGGGUGCGUAGGCGGAUCGUUAAGUCAGUGGUCAAAUUGAGGGGCUCAACCCCUUCCCGCCAUUGAAACUGGCGAUCUUGAGUGGAAGACAAGUAUGCGGAAUGCGUGGUGUAGCGGUGAAAUGCAUAGAUAUCACGCAGAACCCCGAUUGCGAAGGCAGCAUGCCGGCUUCCUACUGACGCUGAAGCACGAAAGCGUGGGGAUCGAACAGG